rnacentral:rRNA from 1 species
CCAAGUCCUUGAAAAGGAUCGGGGCUGUGCAUGAACUUCCUAAAGACAGGGUGAACCCUUCUACGUUUUGUACAGGUUCUUGCGGGUUGGUCUGUGGCAAUGCGAAAUGAUCGUUGACGUUGUCAUCGCAGCCCGUCAGGGCUGCAAUGAAUAUCAAUAACAUAUAUAAAUUAAUUUUUUUCAUAAUCUUGUAAUUUAAGGGAUGAUUUACUUGAUGGCGCCUUUAUUGUCAAUAAAGUUCAGAUAGGCUUUUUGACCUGCAUUUCCCAUGGCGCGUUCCUGGUCUUCACCGGUACCGCGAUAUUCUAUCUUACCUCCCAGAAUAAUAAAUUCGCUUUUCCACCAGUCAAUGUCUGCUAACUUGAUACACAUGCGUACUUCGCCGGAUGCAACGAAGGCGGGGGAUACGAAUUCUCCUUUGCCCUCGGGAACGGUAAACAUAUUGGCCUCUGUGAAUGAGUCCCAGCCACCGGAAGUAUCACCGGUCAGAUACACUUCGGGCUUGUAGAAAUCGACUGCGUAUUUAUAAUUCCGUCCUUCGAGAGUGACUUUCACGACUACUAUAUACCAUCCCGGAUUACCAAUCUCAGAUAAACUCCGAAUGCCAAAGAAUUAUGGUCGGCAGUCAGACUGCGAGUGCUAAGAUCCGUAGUCGAAAGGGAAACAGCCCAGACCACCAGCUAAGGUCCCAAAAUAAUUGUUAAGUGGAAAAGGAUGUGGGGUUGCACAGACAACUAGGAUGUUAGCUUAGAAGCAGCUAUUCAUUCAAAGAGUGCGUAAUAGCUCACUAGUCGAGUGACCCUGCGCCGAAAAUGUACCGGGGCUAAGCCUGAUACCGAAACUGCGGAUUGUAGGAAACUGUAGUGGUAGGGGAGCGUUGUAUACGAGCAGAAGCCGUACCGUGAGGAGCGGUGGAUUGUAUAGAAGUGAGAAUGCCGGUGUGAGUAGCGAGAUGUAGGUGAGAAUCCUACACACCGAAAGCCCAAGGAUUCCAGGGGAAGGUUCGUCCGCCCUGGGUAAGUCGGGACCUAACGCGAGGCCGAAAGGCGUAGUGGAUGGAAAGCAGGCGAAAGAUUCCUGCACCCGUAUAUGGAGCGAAGGAGUGACGGAGACGGAUAGUGUGACCCUCUUAAUGGAUUGAGGGCGAAGCGAAGCGGCUGGUUACCAGGCAAAUCCGGUAACUGAAAGGCUAGAGCGUGACAGGUAAGCGAAAUCUUAGGAAAGUAGCGAAGCACAUGAUGACGGCUUCCAGGAAAAGCUUCUGGCAAUGCAUAUGCGGCCCGUACCAAAACCGACACAGGUGGGCAGGGAGAGAAUCCCGAGGUGAGCGAGAGAACUGUUGCCAAGGAACUCGGCAAAAUGACUCCGUAAGUUAGCGAGAAGGAGUGCUUAAGCAAUUAAGCCGCAGUGAAGAGGCCCAAGCGACUGUUUAACUAAAACACAGCUCUCUGCGAAGUCGCAAGACGAAGUAUAGGGGGUGACACCUGCCCGGUGCUGGAAGGUUAAGAGGAUCUGUUAAGAGCGAUCUGAAGCAGUGAUCCGAAGCCCCAGUGAACGGCGGCCGUAACUAUAACGGUCCUAAGGUAGCGAAAUUCCUUGUCAGGUAAGUUCUGACCC